UCAGAAAAGUUUUUACCGACAAUUUGUCUUCCAACUACAGCUGGAAGGGAACAAAAACUAAGCCGAGUGCCGAAAAGUGCUAUCUUGUAACUGCAAUAAAAAACAUUUGUCAUAUAAAGUACAAAUGCACUGACAAAGAUAUGAACGCCGUCUUGCAAAAGCAUUUUGUGCACGCAAACGAUCGACUGGC